GACGAACGCUGGCGGCGGGCUUAACACAUGCAAGUCGAGCGGUAAGGCCUUUCGGGGUACACGAGCGGCGAACGGGUUAGUAACACGGGGGUGAUCUGCCCUGCACUUCGGUAUAAGUCUGGGAUACUGGGUCUAAUACCGCAUAUGACCUCCUAUCGCCUUGUGGGUGGUGGAAAGAUUUAUCGGUGCAGGAUGGGAGCGCGGCCUAUCAUCUAGUUUGGGGGGUAAUGGCAUGCCAAGGCGACGACGGGUGGCCGACCUGAGAGGGUGAACGGGCACAAGGGGACUGAGGGAGGCAGCAGAGUGCUAUGUGAGACAGUAGGGGGAAGUCUUACACAGUGGGACCGCGCGGGUUGCAGAGGCGUCGCGGGUGGGAUGACGGCCUUCUGGGUGUAAAACGCAUUCGGCAGGGACGAAGCGGUAGUGACGGUACCUGCAGAAGAAGCACCGGCUAACUACGUG
rnacentral:rRNA from 1 species